AGCACUUGUGUGUGUCUUUGUUUAACUUGUGGACAAAAACAUAUAGACAGGUGCAAAAAAUAAACCCUCUUUUGCAACCCAGAACUCAUUGUAUAGUGUGUGUUUUAAUACAUGUAAGAAGGAAUAUG
rnacentral:snoRNA from 1 species